GUUCCUGUGGCUCUGUUGGUAGAGCAUUGCGCUAACAACGCAAAGGUUGUGGGCUCAAAUUCCAGGGACA